rnacentral:rRNA from 1 species
GACAGAGGUGCCAAGCGUUAGGCGGAAUCACUGGGCUUAAAGCGUGUGUAGGCGGGUGCCUAAGUACCUUGUGAAAUCCCCCCGGCUCAACCGGGGGAACGGCUGGGUAUACUGGGUGCCUUGGGUCAUCUAGGGGCUGCCGGAACAAAUGGUGGAGCGGUGAAAUGCGUAGAUAUCAUUUGGAACGCCAACGGCGAAAGCAGGCAGCUGGGGAUGCACCGACGCUGAGACACGAAAGCCAGGGGAGCGAACGGGG